UACGAGGGGGGCGAGCGUUGUUCGGAAUUAUUGGGCGUAAAGGGUGCGUAGGCGGUUUGGUAAGUCUUAUGUGAAAUCUACAGGCUCAACUUGUAGUCUGCAUGAGAAACUGCCGGGCUUGAGUGUGGGAGAGGUGAGUGGAAUUCCUGGUGUAGCGGUGAAAUGCGUAGAUAUCAGGAGAAACACCUGUGGCGAAAGCGGCUCACUGGACCAUAACUGACGCUGAUGCACGAAAGCUAGGGGAGCAAACAGG
rnacentral:rRNA from 1 species